ensembl:lncRNA FZD10-AS1 FZD10 antisense divergent transcript
GCGUCGCCCGCCAGCCCCGGGACAGCCCGCCUGGCGCGCGGGGCUCUGCGCGCUGCGACCCUCCCCGGCAGUCCCGCCCGCCUCUCCUCGCCCUCUCUCUGCCUGGCCUCCAACUUUGCCUCUCGCUAUCCUCUCCGCCGGCGCCCCCUUUCCCGGCGGUCCCCGGGAUGGUCCCCGGCACCCCGAGGACGCCGAGGUUACGGGAAGUUCGGGGACUGGCGGGAGAAGGGGUUUGGGGGUGGUCCGCGGCGAGGGGCGCGGGGUGCAUCUUCUCUUCCUUUUAUGGGCUGCCACACUUGUGUAUCCCUUCUUCCUUGAAUUUAACCAGGAGUGAGCAGUGGACAGCUUCUUCCCUAUGAGAAGGAGGUGAAGCAGGACCUGAAAUCCCGUGCUCAGCUCCCACAUGCCCCGUGUCCAGGACAAGUCCUUUGCUGAAUCAGCGGCAGACACCACCCGGAGCCCUGCGGGAGCCUUUCCCUGUUCUUCCAGCAUGGAUCUGAAACUCCCUUCCCACUUUCUGCAGCCUCCCAGAGAUAGUUCAGGCUCCAGCCUCAUGUGAUAGCAUGAAGAGAAACUGGUUCCAACAGCUGUGUGCUCUGCUGCCCUCAUCCCAAACAACAGUUUAAAUGCACAAUUACGCUUUUCUCUAAGGCCCAAAAUAGGAUAGGAAAGAUCGUUUUGCUAUCCCUGAAUGCCUGUCACCCUUGUUUCGUAAGGUAAGAUUGGGAAGGGCUUGGCCAUUGCCCUUGCAGCUGAGAAACCAACUUUAGGAAUAAAGACACUCUCUCCAUGUCUGACAAA